UCUGGUAGCGAUAGCGAAGAGGUCACACCUGUUCCCAUGCCGAACACAGAAGUUAAGUUCUUCAGCGCCGAUGGUAGUUGGGGGCUUCCCCCUGCGAGAGUAGGACGCCGCCGGGC
rnacentral:rRNA from 1 species